rnacentral:rRNA from 1 species
AUUGAACGCUGGCGGCAGGCCUAACACAUGCAAGUCGAGCGGAUGAAGGGAUCUUGCUCCUGGAUUCAGCGGCGGACGGGUGAGUAAUGCCUAGGAAUCUGCCUGGUUGUGGGGGAUAACGUCCGGAAACGGUCGCUAAUUCCGCAUACGUCCUGAGUGAGAAUGUGGGGGAUCUUCGGACCUCACGCUAUCAUAUGAGCCUAGGUCGGAUUAGCUAGUUGGUGGGGUAAAGGCCUACCAAGGCGACGAUCCGUAACUGGUCUGAGAGGAUGAUCAGUCACACUGGAACUGAGACAAGGUCCAGACUCCUACGGGAGGCAGCAGUGGGGAAUAUUGGACAAUGGGCGAAAGACUGAUCCAGCCAUGCCGCGUGUGUGAAGAAGGUCUUCGGAUUGUAAAGCACUUUAAGUUGGGAGGAAGGGCAGUAAGUUAAUACCUUGCUGUUUUGACGUUACCAACAGAAUAAGCACCGGCUAACUUCGUG